rnacentral:rRNA from 1 species
CACACUGGGACUGAGACACGGCCCAGACUCCUACGGGAGGCAGCAGUGGGGAAUAUUGCACAAUGGGCGGAAGCCUGAUGCAGCAACGCCGCGUGAGGGAUGACGGCCUUCGGGUUGUAAACCUCUUUUAGCAGGGAAGAAGCAUGAGUGACGGUACCUGCAGAAAAAGCGCCGGGCUAACUACGUGCCAGCAGCCGCGGUAAUACGUAGGGCGCAAGCGUUAUCGGGAAUUAUUGGGCGUAAAGAGCUCGUAGGCGGUUUGUCGCGUCUGCUGUGAAAUCCCGAGGCUCAACUUCGGGUCUGCAGUGGGUACGGGCAGACUAGAGUGCGGUAGGGGAGAUUGGAAUUCCUGGUGUAGCGGUGGAAUGCGCAGAUAUCAGGAGGAACACCGAUGGCGAAGGCAGAUCUCUGGGCCGUAACUGACGCUGAGGAGCGAAAGGGUGGGGAGCAAACAGGCUUAGAUACCCUGGUAGUCCACCCCGUAAACGUUGGGAACUAGUUGUGGGGACCAUUCCACGGUUUCCGUGACGCAGCUAACGCAUUAAGUUCCCCGCCUGGGGAGUACGGCCGCAAGGCUAAAACUCAAAGGAAUUGACGGGGACCCGCACAAGCGGCGGAGCAUGCGGAUUAAUUCGAUGCAACGCGAAGAACCUUACCAAGGCUUGACAUACACCAGAACGGGCCAGAAAUGGUCAACUCUUUGGACACUGGUGAACAGGUGGUGCAUGGUUGUCGUCAGCUCGUGUCGUGAGAUGUUGGGUUAAGUCCCGCAACGAGCGCAACCCUCCUUCUAUGUUGCCAGCACGUUAUGGUGGGAACUCAUGGGAUACUGCCGGGGUCAACUCGGAGGAAGGUGGGGAUGACGUCAAAUCAUCAUGCCCCUUAUGUCUUGGGCUUCACGCAUGCUACAAUGGCCGGUACAAAGGGCUGCAAUACCGUGAGGUGGAGCGAAUCCCAAAAAGCCGGUCCCAGUUCGGAUUGAGGUCUGCAACUCGACCUCAUGAAGUCGGAGUCGCUAGUAAUCGCAGAUCAGCAACGCUGCGGUGAAUACGUUCCCGGGUCUUGUACACUCCGCCCGUCAAGUCAUGAAUGUCGGUAACACCCGAAGCCGGGAGCUCUUACCCCUGUGCUCCCGACGAUCCGUCAGCGGGCAUCG